GAUGAACGCUGGCGGCGUGCCUAAUACAUGCAAGUAGAACGCUGAAGGAGGAGCUUGCUCUUCUGGAUGAGUUGCGAACGGGUGAGUAACGCGUAGGUAACCUGCCUGGUAGCGGGGGAUAACUAUUGGAAACGAUAGCUAAUACCGCAUGACAACAGUUAUUGCAUGAUAACUGUUUAAAAGGGGCAACUGCUCCACUACCAGAUGGACCUGCGUUGUAUUAGCUAGUUGGUGAGGUAACGGCUCACCAAGGCGACGAUACAUAGCCGACCUGAGAGGGUGAUCCACCACACUGGGACUGAGACACGGCCCAGACUCCUACGGGAGGCAGCAGUAGGGAAUCUUCGGCAAUGGACGGAAGUCUGACCGAGCAACGCCGCGUGAGUGAAGAAGGUUUUCGGAUCGUAAAGCUCUGUUGUAAGAGAAGAACGAGUGUGAGAGUGGAAAGUUCACACUGUGACGGUAUCUUACCAGAAAGGGACGGCUAACUACGUG
rnacentral:rRNA from 1 species